UUUACGGAGAGUUUGAUUCUGGCUCAGAACGAACGCUGGCGGCGUGGAUAAGACAUGCAAGUCGAACGGAGUUACUUUUGUAGCAAUACAAAAGUAAUUCAGUGGCGAACGGGUGCGUAACACGUGGGCAAUCUGCCGAGAAGUGGGGGAUAGCUCGCCGAAAGGCGAAUUAAUACCGCAUAUGAUCAGCUAAGACAUCUUAGCGACAUCAAAGCCGGGGUAACCUGGCGCUUCUUGAUGAGCCCGCGGCCUAUCAGCUAGUUGGUGAGGUAACGGCUCACCAAGGCUUUGACGGGUAGCUGGUCUGAGAGGACGACCAGUCACACUGGAACUGAGACACGGUCCAGACACCUACGGGUGGCAGCA
rnacentral:rRNA from 1 species